AGGACGAGCGUCCGCUCUGGGCAGGCGGGAAACCAGGGGCAGCACCUGUCAGGGAUCUGAAACUCCAGGGAAGCAGUAACUGGAUAAGGCCACGUGUUUCCUGUCAAGAGAAAUGACAGGCAGAGUUCUGGGAAAGUCACGGGACAGCCUUCCUUGCCUCAUCCAGGGUUCUCUGCGUGCUGAGUGCGGUGGAUGCUGCCUCGGGCUGUGCUAUCUCAAGGCGCCUGAAUCCCAGUCUGUGCUCAGUUGCUCAGUGUCCCCAGACCCUCCACUGGGCCCUUGGCUUCCUAACAGCGGGUGCCUCCGCCAGCUCCUCGGGCCUCGGGGCCAGGGUCCUGCUGCAGAGACAGAGAAGGGCCGCCCACUUCCUACAUGAAGAAAUAAUCCUCUUGCUUUACUUCCAGAGGAAGAGUUGAGGGAUGAAAGCAGCGCUCCUGGUCACUGUCCUCGUGCUCACGGCUGGCUGCACACCGGCACGAAACUUCCAUUCUGAAAUGCAGUAUGAUCCUUUCUCAGUCUGCUGAAGCUGGCAGAGGAAACCACCAAUGGUCAGAAGGACUACCACAGCCCCACUGUUUCCACCUACAAUGGAAAGUGAUCCUCCUCUGACUCCGGGUCCUCUGGUCACUGUCACCCCCACCAGGCAAGGUGAUGUCUGAGGAGUGAGGGUCUCCAGGAACCUCACAGCCCACAGCAGCUUCCUCCUCCAGGCUGUGGCUAACAUCACAGCUGAAGAGCCAUGUUAUCAUCUCCCUGCUCCUUGUCCCACUGUACACCCUUCCCGAUGUAAUGCUGCAAUAAAAACUUUAUGUCAU